rnacentral:rRNA from 1 species
AGUGAACGCUGGCGGUAGGCCUAACACAUGCAAGUCGAACGGCAGCACAGUAAGAGCUUGCUCUUACGGGUGGCGAGUGGCGGACGGGUGAGGAAUACAUCGGAAUCUACUUUUUCGUGGGGGAUAACGUAGGGAAACUUACGCUAAUACCGCAUACGACCUACGGGUGAAAGCAGGGGAUCUUCGGACCUUGCGCGAUUGAAUGAGCCGAUGUCGGAUUAGCUAGUUGGCGGGGUAAAGGCCCACCAAGGCGACGAUCCGUAGCUGGUCUGAGAUGAUGAUCAGCCACACUGGAACUGAGACACGGUCCAGACUCCUACGGGAGGCAGCAGUGGGGAAUAUUGGACAAUGGGCGCAAGCCUGAUCCAGCCAUACCGCGUGGGUGAAGAAGGCCUUCGGGUUGUAAAGCCCUUUUGUUGGGAAAGAAAAGCAGCAGGUUAAUACCCCGCUGUUCUGACGGUACCCAAAGAAUAAGCACCGGCUAACUUCGUG